GAAUGUGUUAGCAAAGAGAGUAGUAUAGUUUAGCGGCGUUUCUUAGAGAGUCUGUGGUUGGUGGGAACAGAUAACGUGCUUUUCUGGAAUGGACUCUUUGGCAUCAUUUGUGAACAGUGAAGUAGCAAAUGGCGGGUUAGACCGUUAUCUCUAGAGAUGUUGUUGCAUCUCGCUAAGUGGCUCUGGAAUGGAGUACUUAGGGUGGUACCGCGGAUUUUAACGUUCGUCCCUAUU
rnacentral:ncRNA from 1 species